AGACAAAAGCUCCUUGCUUGGUGAUCCAGUGGAUGUUUAAGAGUCUUCUGGAAGUGUAGAAUACACACAAACAUGCCUAGAGGAAAUUAUGGCAUCUUUCUGCUUUUCUGGAUAACCAACUUCAUAUCUGAACCAGCUAAAAUAAAGCCAGGAAAGAACUAGCAGGCUGAAUCUUCUAAGGAACAAAAAGAAGGUAUCAUUUACUAGAAUAUUAAAAUAUUUUUUAAAAUUAGAUGAUUUUGCUUCAGAUCACUUGAACUGUCCCUGGCACUGACCUGUGUGUGACUGAUCCUCUCCCUGCAGCCCUGCUCUUCUCUUGGCUGGUGUGAAUGUACCUCCUCAGGUGAAACCCUGGCUUGAACUUGACCUGCCCAGAGUCCAGAAGAAGGCAAAGGAAUUCCAGGACAGGAGGAGGUAAGCAUUUCCUAAACCAGACCAACAGCACAUCUGCACUGCAAACUCAGCUUGGGCUCAGGUUCCUUUCCCUACCCAGAGAGUGACUUUUCACCCAAAGCUGCUGGUGCUUCAGACCAUUUGAUCUGGCCAUCAUGGCAUUGUGGGCAUGCUCCAGGCUUUUGCUUUCCUUUGGGCUGAAAACACCCAUUUCAAAACAAACCUAAACCACUGGUGGGACCCUUCUGUGCCUGCCGGCCCUCCAUCCUCACUUCUCCCUCUCCACCUGCCUCUUUCCUUUACAUCUCUUCAAAAAGAUUUUGGUGGAGAUCUAUUAUGCAAAAACCUAGGUGGCACAUGUCCUUGGAAGCACCGGUGUCCUGCAGAGCUGGACAUCCACACAAGGAUUUCUGCUUCUUCAACCAGACUGCUCCUGGACCAUGUGUGUGCUCACUUCCCACACCAUGCAAAUUCACGAUGGCGCCCUGCAAAACCAUUGGAGUGUCUCGAGUCAGCUGGGCACAGCUCACAAGUAGCAUUCUGAAGCCAAGUGAUUCUUCCCGUAAACAAAACUGGUUUGCAGGAGCUUGAUUCGGGAAGACAUGACGGCACUGGGUACGUGGCACUGCGAACUGUUCAGCUGUGGGAGCCUGUGUGUACUGAGGCGUUAAUGCAGAACUGUCGGGCAUUGGGCCCAGAACAGAUGUGAUGAUGAGUGAGAGCAAAGAGACAAGGGAGGAAGGAGCAGAAGAAGAAAGCACAUUUUAGGCUUCUCCGUUCCUGCCUAGAUAACCACUGCUUCCAUAACAUGGGAACUGUCCCUAAAUUCCUCUUAUCAAGAGAAAGUAGGAAGCAAAAUGAUCUGUGGAGAAAACAUACUUGUUUUUUUCAUUUGCCAGUCCUGCAAACAAUAGCUGUUUGUAGGCAAAUAAUCUUCAGGUCUGCAUCGCCAGAUCAAUGCAGGGAGUGGUUCCCAUCAGCUCUGCGGUGCCAGACACACUGAAUGGUUUGUAAGGAAACAGGUUCUUGAACUUCUCCACAGCACAGACACUAUCUUAGUAGGUUAUCUCACACUUGCUUCUGUGCCUGCUCCCAUUCUCCUCAUCUUCCAAUGCUUGACCUGGCAGGGAGAAGUGAAGACUAGAUGAAAUAGACCUUGUUUUAAUAGAAAAGGCUUCGAAAUGUUCAGCUGUUUGUUAUUUCCUUGCCACUUACUUUUCCAAUUUACUUUUGGAGCCAGGCUAAAGGAAAGGCCAGUCCUUGUGCACAGUCGCAGUUUAAUACCUCUGAUAUGCAUGAAGAAAAUUAAUUUGACUGAGGAUUUUGCUUCAUGAAGUAAUUACAGCACAAAGCAUAAAAAGGCUGUGUUUUGUCUUGAGCCGCCAAAGUCCUGGUUUGCAUCAUGAGGUCAUGUUUAGGAUUACAAAUGUUUGCACAAAUAGCACCUUAUAGUAUCUUACAUUGCCUCUCUCCACCUUUACUAACAGGAUUUUUGGAGGUGGAGAGGAGCAGGGAAAGAAACUAUUCUUCCGUGACACGUACGUUAAAAUUGAAGCUUAAACCCACAGGGCACAAGAAGAGCACAAAUAUGAGAGGGUGCUGAGUUCAUGGGGAUGCUCACACUCCAAAAUAUAUCCAAUGUGGAUAUAUUUUGGAGUGUGAGCAGUGGAGGAUGGUUGUAGGCACCAGCACAGCCCAAUCAAUUAAGGUUGGAUUGAUACAAGAAAAACCCUCAUGUAGGACAUACCAUUUCCAUGGUAUCUUCAGAAGAGGCUGAUCUUUUUUUAUUUUGAGUUUUUAAAGCAGCUCUCUGGAUUCAAAUCCUUUUGAAAUUGUAUGUGAAUACUUUGAUAAACUGAUUAGAACUAAUUACGGUUAAAAAAAUGGCUGAUUUUUCAUUAAUUUGGUGGUAUUUGCAAUGUGUUUCACAACUGAAGGCAGCACUUUAAUUAUCAUUAUCUUGCAGCCAGAAAAUAUUUGGAAAAAUAAAGUAAAUCAAAAUAUGAUGGCAGAGCACACCUCACUGCCUUCAGAUGGCCAGUCCCUAUCAGUCGGUCACUUCUGCUACCAGGGAGCCCAUAAGAUGCCAAUCACACCACAGUUAAAACAGUCCAUCCUGCUACUCACCUGUAUAAUGACACAUUUGGUCAAGACUGAUGAAAUUUAUGGAUUUUAAGUUUGCUUAGAAGAAUUGACUCAAACUCUAGAGAACUAUGCAUGGGAAAUAAAAGUUACAGGAAUGGUAAACUUCCAAACCCAGAAAAUUCACAGAUUAAAGUCACUGUGGAGAAAAACACUCACCAGCACUUUCUGCCUUACCUGGGUGUUUGGGUGGGAGGUCUGUAGAUUGUGCAAUGACUGCUGGAGCUGAGCUCUGAAUAUCUGUCAUCAGCACUCAGGCUGUGGGUGACUCACAUUGAGAAACUGAAAUUAUGAAGACCCUUCUUUUAUUCAUCACUGCCUGCCUUCUUUCCUCACUGAUAAUACAGGGUCAGCAUCCUCUCAAAAUGACUGGAAAAGGAAACAGUGCAUGUGAAACUCUCAGACACUGCUGUCAUGAGCACCAUGGAAAAACCAUACGGAAAUGAAUAAUUUUGUGCCCAAAGCACAGUUUGAAUAACAGGCAGUAAAAAGCCCCUUCGCUGCACAUUAAACAAGAGGAGAAUAAAUCAUGAGGGGAGCUACUCCCUCAGGAGCAGCAAGCAUUGCCAGUGCAGAGAGAGGGGGAUGCCUGUAGGAAAAGGGCGUGGAUAACUCAAUUACAGUUCAUCUGGAUGAGGAAAACCAGGCAAAUUCUGGACACUCCAGGCUGCUGAAUGCUGGAGCGUAGAGCCUCAGUAGCCUUUCAGAGUAUAUUGUUUCACACACGUAUUUAUGUUUGUGUGUGCAUGGGCUUCAGGGUAUAUGGAAAAUAAGUGGGAUAAGCUUUGGUUCUGUGCCAGGUUGAGUGCUCUACACAGCUACAGCACUGCUGGUCAGCUGGAAGCACAGGCUGAGGUCUAGGUGAAAAAAAGAUAAUCUUUGGAAUAUCAGUUGAUCAGUUUGUAGAAUAUCUGUCAAUGGCUACAGCACCACUGGCUGGGCAAACACAGCCCUCUAAUAUGUGCCCCACUGCCAAGUCUGUCUUUAUCCAUGGGACAGGAUCUAGGGUCUAGAAACACCCUAUUUCCAGGUUGUCUGGAGAUGUCUUCACUGACCAUCUGUAUACAAUUCCCUGCACUUCUGGGCUGGAGCCAGGGCAUAAGAUACGGCAGAGUGUAUUUGGAGAAGUUACCACCAGCAAUAUCCCCUUCAUUAAGGGGAAUUAAUUAAGGUUAAAUAAGGUUGGGAAGUAAGAAAAAUUAAUUCCUACAGGCAUCCCUAAAAGACAGGGAGACAGCAACAUCAUAGUAGGAACAUGUCCUAGGACUGUGCUUGGCCCAGGCAGGCAGGACAGCACAGAGAGCUGUGGUCAGGUCUCACUCACAGUGGCAGAUUUAAGAGUGCACAUGUCCAACCCAACAGUGGGAAGGUGAUCUUUGUUCUGCUUGGCAGAGCAGCGCAGGUGUACUGGCAGUGUAAAAGCUCUCUGUGAGAUGCAGCUCUGCAGAGCAGCUCCAGCAAUCCACAGCCAUUGCUGUCACUGCAGCAGGUUAAGGACACACUGCCGAGAUCUCUGUGACAGGAGAACACAGCAGGGUAACUCAGUAGUGAUGUGGCCUCUCAUUGAUGGAUGCUCUUCCUCCUGCUUGUGUUUCCAACACACUGAUCAACUCUUGCAAACUUAGGUAAAACCCAUUUUUUCAGUCCCUCUAUCCUAGUGAUGGCAUGCCCUUCCUGAGGCACAGGAAUGAAUGUAAAAAUGUCUCACAUUUGUUCUGAUCAGGGCUCUGCUGAUGCUUUUAGGGCUUCUCCCACUCAAAAGUCUGUUGACGUGAGUAUUUCCGCCCUCGUGAUCUGAUAGAAGCACAAAAGACACAUCUGGUGACAAAAGACACAUCUGGUGACAAAAGAUACAUCUGGUGACAAAAGACACAUCUCUUCUGGGGCUGGUGGACUUUCCCUUAUGCCAGGAUUGAGUUUGCCCAACAAGGGACCAGUCAGUGUCCACAAGACUCUUUGACAGCAGAACAUUCUGUUACUCUUCCUGUGACGUUAUCAGAGGAAACACUGCACACAGCUACGUGUAUCCAUUGAAGUCUAUUAUUUCAGCUCGUUCAUAUGUUGCUGACUCACCAUUCAUUCACUUUGUACAACCUUUUAAAAGUCUUACACAUCCCCAAACCCUGUCCAUGGAAUUUCUGCCUUAGAUAUAUCUCACACUGCACCAACAUCAACUUGAAGAGGCAAUAAUUUUCCCAGGAGUGUCUUGUAUAAAAUCUUCCUCAUCAGAGAUAAGAGACAAGCUCAUUCCACAUGAGACAACCCACUGGAAUGACUCUUUAGACACCACUUGUGGAACUUCUUAUUCAUCAUUCUCCUCAUCCUGAUAUUUUGUCCUCUAAUUGCAAAAGUACUUUCCACUUCCACUGAGUGUUUCUGUGGGCAAGGUACAGACAGAAUGGAUAAACUCCACUGGGACUAGUAAUACACUGGGAUAUGGCUAAGAGACUUCUUCUAGCUUGGGU
ensembl:lncRNA